GGCUGGCUGGCUCAGUUGGUAGAGCAUGAGACUUUUGAUCUCUGGGUCAUGAGUUUGAGCCCCAUGUUGGGCA
rnacentral:tRNA from 1 species